UACGUAGGGGCAAGCGUUAUCCGGAAUCACUGGGCGUAAAGGGUGCGUAGGCGGCCAAUCAAGUCUGGGGUGAAAGGCUACGGCUUAACCGUAGUAAGCCUUGGAAACUGGUUGGCUUGAGUGCAGGAGAGGAGAGUGGAAUUCCUAGUGUAGCGGUGAAAUGCGUAGAUAUUAGGAGGAACACCAGUGGCGAAGGCGACUCUCUGGACUGUAACUGACGCUGAGGCACGAAAGCGUGGGGAGCAAACAGG
rnacentral:rRNA from 1 species